AAUCAACGCUGGCGGCGUGCCUCAGACAUGCAAGUCGAACGCGAAAGUCCCCUUCGGGGGACAAGUAGAGUGGCGCACGGGUGAGUAACACGUAGGUAAUCUACCUUCGGAUGGGGAAUAACAACCGGAAACGGUUGCUAAUACCGCAUAAUGCAGCGGCACCUAAUGGUGACAGUUGUUAAAGCGGGGGAGUCGAAAGACCUCGCGUCUGAAGAGGAGCCUGCGGCGGAUUAGCUAGNGGUAAGGUAAUGGCUUACCAAGGCGACGAUCCGUAGCCGGCCUGAGAGGGGCGGUCGGCCACACUGACACUGACAUACGGGUCAGACUCCUACGGGAGGCAGCAGUCGGGAA
rnacentral:rRNA from 1 species